UAAUACGUAGGGGGCAAGCGUUGUCCGGAAUUAUUGGGCGUAAAGCGCGUGUAGGCGGUCCGAUAAGUCGGUUGUGAAAGUCCAGGGCUCAACUCUGGAAUGCCGGCCGAUACUGUCGGACUAGAGUCCGGAAGAGGCAAGUGGAAUUCCCGGUGUAGCGGUGAAAUGCGCAGAUAUCGGGAGGAACACCAAUGGCGAAGGCAGCUUGCUGGGACGGUACUGAC
rnacentral:rRNA from 1 species